CGUAUUGAACGAACUGACGGAAAUCGGUAUCACUCAAGAUCAAACCUGUACGGAAAACAUCAUCGGCCAAUACCGUUCCAAAUGGAUGGGGAACAUGAGAAUAUGCCUUAAUCAUCUCGUUGCUAGUAGCCUGGAAAAGAAUUUCGGAACCGGUGGUACCACAAGCCUCUAAGUUGACUACACACUUAAUUGUGUCUCUGAGUGGACUUUGAGUAAUAAACAUGUGGGACGCAUCUUGCAACGACUCUUCAGCAUCAUUGAACAAAAAGACAAUUGAAUGAGUUAAUGGAACAGGUCGAGAAAUAAAAAUACGAAUGGCUUCGAGAAGGAUUGCAACAGCAAGAGCAUCAUCAGUGGCACCAGGACUAGGCAG